UCAUCUUCGAUCACAAAGAAAUAAAUAAAUAAAUAAAGUAAUUUAAGCGGGACUUUUAGAAAUUCCAGUCAAUGAACUCUCAAUCACCGUCAGACCAAAAGAGAAAAAAAGUCCCAAAAGAUGCCUUACUGAUAUUUACCCUUUUUAACCCUGAAAAACACACAAGUUUCCUCACUGGUUUCUUAUAUAUGGAGAGGGAAAGUGACUUUACUCAUAACCACCACUCAAAUACAGAGAGAAGGAGAUCAAAGGCUGGCAGCAAGAGGAAAUGGAAAUUUUUGGGUGAGAGGUUGCCGGAAAGAAUACAUAAUAUUCACCUAAGUUUUGAUAUUAAAUUCUUUCCGAAACCUCCCAUUCCAAUGAUUUCCAGCUAUUCCUUUCUUUUCUCCAACCCAACACAACACAAGCAGAGUUUGAGCGAGUGCCUUUAUUCUAUUCCACCAACCAGUCCAAGCCACCGAUACUUAAAGGCUGAACCCCUCUCCUCCAAAAUAAUUUGUUCAAUUCACAUCAAUGGAAUGGUUCCUUCCAGUUCCAGAUGAAGAGAGAGAGAGAGACAGAAAGAGAGAAGAGGGAAAGGGAGAAGAGCUUGAGGAAGUUUUUGGCCAUGGGAGGUUUGGCAAGAAAUAUUUAUUAUAUAUUCAACUACUUCAAGUUCUGUUUGAAGUAUGUAUGUAUAAGUAGUUCUUGCCUAUUCCUCCCAUGCCAAUGAUUUCCUAAUUGGGUUCAUCUCUUUCCCUUGCUUUUCUUAUAUCUGGACAAUCGUUUAUUUUGUGAAGGAAGUCACAUGGAGAUGGAGCUCAAUUUUUAUCAA